UACGUAGGGGGCUAGCGUUGUCCGGAAUCAUUGGGCGUAAAGAGCGCGCAGGCGGUCGUACAAGUCGCGUGUGAAAGCCCCCGGCUCAACUGGGGAGGGUCACGCGAUACUGUUCGACUCGAAGGCAGGAGAGGGAAGUGGAAUUCCCGGUGUAGUGGUGAAAUGCGUAGAUAUCGGGAGGAACACCAGUGGCGAAGGCGACUUCCUGGCCUGUUCUUGACGCUGAGGCGCGAAAGCUAGGGUAGCAAACGGG
rnacentral:rRNA from 1 species